CUCGGCUGAGGAGUCGUUCCCAUAUUUCAUGGCAACUCCAGAAUUCAUGACUGCACUUUUCAGAGCCGGGCUCUUCCUCCUCCAGGUCUCAGAGCUUAGGAGUGGGGCUUAACAGGCUGGGUAUCCACUGCUUGAUCCCUUUUGGCACAUCUUAGUCUAGACAGCCAUUUUCACUCAGGACACUGUUCGGAAAGCCCAGGAAGGAUGC
rnacentral:lncRNA from 1 species